rnacentral:rRNA from 1 species
AGCGAACGCUGGCGGUAUGCUUAACACAUGCAAGUCGAGCGCGAAAGUGACUUCGGUCAUGAGUAGAGCGGCGGACGGGUGAGUAACACGUGGAUAAUCUGCCUUUAGGACUGGGAUAACCCUGGGAAACUAGGGCUAAUACCGGAUAAGACCACAGGCUCCAUGGAACCAGGGGUAAAAGCGGCCUUCGGCUGUCGCCGGAAAGAUGAGUCCGCGUCUCAUCGGGUAGUUGGUGAGGUAACGGCUCACCAAGCCGAAGACGGGUAGCCGACCUUAGCGGGUGAUCGGCCACACGGGGACUGAGACACGGCCCCGACUCCUACGGGAGGCAGCAGUGGGGAAUCUUGGGCAAUGGGCGCAAGCCUGACCCAGCAAUACCGCGUGAGGGAUGAAGGCCUU